UACGUAGGGUCCGAGCGUUGUCCGGAGUUACUGGGCGUAAAGCGCGCGUAGGCGGCUUUGUAAGUUAGAGGUGAAAGCCCGGGGCUCAACUCCGGAAUUGCCUUUAAGACUGCAUCGCUAGAAUCCGGGAGAGGUGAGUGGAAUUCCGAGUGUAGAGGUGAAAUUCGUAGAUAUUGGGAAGAACACCAGUGGCGAAGGCGGCUCACUGGCCCGCAACUGACGCUGAGGCGCGAAAGCGUGGGGAGCAAACAGG
rnacentral:rRNA from 1 species